rnacentral:rRNA from 1 species
UACGUAGGGUGCAAGCGUUGCCCGGAUUUAUUGGGCGUAAAGGGCGCGCAGGCGGCUACGCACGUUCGUUGUGAAAUCCCUCGGCUCAACCGGGGAACUGCGUCUGAUACUGGAUGGCUUGAAUUCGGGAGAGGGAUGCGGAAUUCCAGGUGUAGCGGUGGAAUGCGCAGAUAUCAGGAGGAACACCAAUAGCGAAGGCAGCUCGCUGGGACGGUACUGACGCUGAGGCGCGAAAGCGUGGGGAGCGAACAGG